CCGCUCGUUCGGCUCGCACUUCUCGCGAGAGCCGAGCCAGAGCCGAGCCAGAGCCGAAGUGCCCGCCGAGGCACAAUGUUACCUCAUGUUGCUUGUAAUCCGCAUGCAAGCCGCUCUCUGCCGUUGAGCGUGACCCAAGGUAUAAUUGUCAGUCAGCAACGUAACUGGAGGGGCUUGGAGAAACUAGCAGAAAUUGUGGUGGACCAUGUGAUAUCUUAGUGGUUUUCUUCAAGGUUCUAUUAUCCAUUAAAGCCAGAAACUCAAAUACUUGCGCAUCCCCAAAUAAAGCUCAUUAGCAAUCACUUUCGUGAUU